GGAAGAAUUGGACAAUCCAAAUGAUUAUUAAUGUACCUAUCAUACGUACGCUUAUCCAUGCAUACGUUAUCCAGACAUUUAUCCACACGUAUGUUAUCAAGACACAAAGUUUAAAAAAUGCAAAAAGUUCACCUCUUAUCACCUAACAGUGCUCAUUUAAAUGCUGUUUAAAUAUUGAAUGUGGAAAGCAUGUGAAUUCUGAACCAUUUGGCUUUCCAUAGAACACACCCUGAGCAGCUCUGACAUCACUGUAGUUCAGUGAGAGACUCCGAGAAAGUGAAACUAACUUGAUCAACAACAUGGACGCCUGAAACCAUCGAACUCUUUAAACAACUGAAUAUUGAGUCGUUCAGAGACACUUGUGAACACAUCUGAUACUCACAGCAGGUCAUAGUUCAGAUUGCUCAGUUUUAAGAGGGAAAGAACAAUGGCAGAAUCUUCACUAACAGCAAGAAAAACCAGGAGACGGAGUAAUGAACAUGAUCAUCCAUCAAUGUCAUCCUCCAUGAGUUCACUGUCUGAGGAGAUUCAGUGCUCUGUGUGUCUGGAUGUGUUCACUGAUCCAGUCUCGACUCCAUGUGGACACAACUUCUGCAAGAUCUGUCUGAAUAAGUGCUGGGACAACAGCCAGACCUGCAGCUGUCCAUACUGUAACGAAACAUUCAAGCAAAGACCUGAUCUCAAGAUUAAUACCACACUCCGAGA